rnacentral:lncRNA from 9 species
UUUUUUUUUAAGCUUCAGCAGAGAAACCAGGUUCCCUCACGUGACUUACAGGAGUUCCAUGAACUGGCCCCCGACUACCUCUCCAGUUUUAUCCCUUGCCAGUCUCUGCCUUUUCCUUUACACUUCAGUAUCAUGAUCUUAUUGGAGCCUCCAGAUGCAUCAGUCUUCCCUCCUUGUCCUUGCUCAUGCUGUCUUCUCUGCCUGAAACAUAAUUUUCCCUCUCCAACUAGAUUAGCUACUCAUCAUUUAAAGAGUAGGUAUCAAUGUACAGUAAGACACAUAGAGUUCAUUACAGUGAGAGUGAGACAGAUUGAGUGGUAAUGAUAUGCACAGAUUUUUCUAUUUGCUCAGAGGAGGGAAUGUAAUUCAGCCUGAAAAUCUCUCAGGCAAUGUUUUCUUGAAGGAAGUGAUCCUUAAAUUACGAUCCUGAUUACAAUGGAGUCUUAAUGACACAUGAGGCAUUUAGCAGGGAGAUGAGAGUCACCUUGAAUUCUUAAGAGAUUCAUGUCAAUGGUUUUGUGAAAUUCUAUGUAAAUUCUUUCCUUACUUGACUGCAAAGAACUCAUUCAGAGCCUUUUGAUUUCUGUCAUCUCUUAACCAGUAUUCUCCCCUGUCUAAUCAGAAGAAAAAUGACAGAAAAGACAGAUGCAACAGAAGAGUUGAGGGACUCUGCUCUUUGGCAUCCAUCAGUAUUUUAAAAUAAUCCCAACAGAACAAAUCUAAGCAUUUUUUGAUAUAUUUUUAUUCUAAAUAUAGCUAAGUAAAAUUUACUUCUUCAUGUCAAUAUUUCUUCAUAUCUUAGUUCUUUUGAUAUUUUAACCUUCCUGAUACUAUUGUCCUAUAUCUUAGCAAUUCUCUUAAAAUCAUCCUUUGCUACAUCAUCUCCUUUCCAUCUUCAUUCAUGUUCUUUUAAAAACCCGAGGUUUAUCUGCUUCCCAGUGGCCCCAAGUUAUACUAAUCAAUGACUGUGCUAGAUAUCGGGAUACAAUGGAAAAUAAAAGAUAGUUCUCAAGAAGUAGAGAGAGUGACAAACAGCCAAUAGAAAUACAGUGGGAUACAUGCUGCUUACUGUAUUAUGGUAUUAUACAGGAGUAGUCUGGGGAUAAGGGAAUACCAGAAAAAGUAAUUGUUAGGUUUCCAAGAGCCAGAUAAAUAAAUAUAAGACAAAUACUCUCAAACUGAAUCCAGCAACAUAUAAAAAGGAUUAUACACAAUGACCAAGUAGGAUUCUCUCUGAAAUGCAAGGUCGAUGUGAAAGUUAAACAAUGUUGGAGUUCCCAUUGUGGCUCAGUGGUUAACAAACCCAACCAGUAUCCAUGAGGAUACGGGUUCGAUCCCUGGCCUCACUCACUGGGUUAAGGAUCUGGUGUUGCCAUGAGCUGUGGUGUAGGGACUGAACCCGCAACCUCAUGGUUCCUAGUCGGAUUCCUUAACCACUGCGCCACGACGGGAACUCCCUGAUUGGAUGUACUUCAUCCUGAUAAAGCCCAUCUAUGAAAAUCCCACAGCUAAUGUCAUAGCUGAUCGUGCAAGACCGAAUGCUUUCCCCCUAAAAUCAGGACCAAAACAGGUGUAUUUGCUCUCAGUAUUUCUAUUCAACAUUAUAGGAGAGGUUUAGGCAGGGCAAUUUAGCGAGAAAAAUAAGUACAAGACAUCUAGACUAGAAGGAGGUAAAACUAUUUGCAGAACACGAUAUUGUUACAGAAAAUCCUAAGGAAUACACACACAUAUACACAUGCAUGCUCACACACACACACCUACUAGAGCUAAUAAAUGAGUUCAGCAAGGUUGCAAGAUAAAAAAUCAGCAUACAAAUUCAGUUGUAAUGGGUGAAUUGUAUGGUAUGUGAAUUAGAUCUCAGUAAGUCUUUUAUAAAAAUGAACUGUAUUUCUGUAUACUAGCAAUGAACACUCAAAAUGAAAUUAAGAAAACAAUUCCAUUUACAAAGCAUUAAAAAGAAUAAAAUGCAUAGGAAUAAAUAUGAUGAGCAACGUAAGACUCAUUCACUGAAAACUACAAAACACUGUUGAAAUAGAUUAAAUAAAUGGAAAGAUUCCCCCAUGUUCAUGAAUCAGAAGACUUAAUACUGUUAAGUUGGCAGUACUCACCACAUUGACAGAUUAAAUGCAAUCCUACCAAAAUUUCAAUGAAAACAGAAAUUAGCAAAUCAAACCUAAAAUGCAUAUGGAAGUAUAAAGGCCCAGGAUAACCAUUGUUUUUCUUCAUGAAAAAGAAGAACAAAGUUCAAAGACUCAUACUUCCGAUUUCAAAACGUACUGCUCAGCUGCAGUAAUCAUAACAGGGUGGUACUCGUGGAAGGAGAGAUAUAGAGCUCCAUGAACUAGACUUGAGAAUACAGAAAUGAACCCUUGCAUUUAUUGUCAGCUGAGCUUCAGAAAAGGUGCCAAGACAAUUCAUUGAAGAGAAAAAUAGCCUUUUCAACAAACAGUACUGAGACGACUAGAUACUCAUAUGCAAAAGAAUGAAGUUGAAUUCAUUCCCUACAUCAUAUAGGAAAAUUAAUUCAAAACAGGUGAGAGAUCUAAACGUAAGAGCUAAAACUACUCUUGAAAGAAAAUAUGGACAUGUAAUAGUACUAAGGGGACUUCGAGUUUUAGCACCAAUAUGUAAAGGGAUAGUUUGGAGAGUAGACCUUUGUUAUGGAGAAUAUUCUGGAUAUAUUUUGCAAUGCUUUCUCUUCUUCUUCCUACCAGAGCCAGCCCCUUCUAGUCUUCCUAUGUCACCAAAGCGUAGAGGGGAGAAAAGCUAGGAAGUGUUAAGGCACAACCCAGGGACACAGACCUGCAAAAAAGACUAAGAUUUAACAAGAUUGUAGGAUGGUCCCUUUCCCCCAUUCCUUAAGGCCACCCCAGCAUGACUCCAGUAUAAUAGUGAUUUAUAGCUGAAAGAGUACAGGCAAGACACAUAUUCUAUCUAACAAGGAGUUCUUUGAGAAGUCCAAAGACAACAGGAUAAACAAAGCAAGGCUGUUACAGGGAUUCUAAGCCUCUGGCACCUGCAGCAAAAGCAAACAUUAAAGUUGUGGUGAAUAAGAUAUGAAGAAAAUAAGCAUUAAACACACACAACACACACAUGAGUCCAACUCCCUGCUAAAUUAACAUAAACUCCACACUACUGCCUUUUAAUCUCAGUUCCUGUUACCCACUGUCCAAUUUUUAACAACAAAAAAGUACAAGGUAGUCUAAAAGACAAGAAAAACACAGUUUAAAUAAAAAGCAAGCAUCAUAACCAGACACCAGUAUGACACAGAUUUUAGAAUUAUCAGGCAUGGAAUUUAGAACAACUACAAUUAAUAUGUUAGGGGCUCGGAUGGAAAAAGUAAAUAACAUGUAAGAACAGAUGGGUAAUGUAAAGAGUGAUAUAGAGGGAUCUAAGAAAAUUUUUUUUUAAAUGCUAAAUAUAAACACUAGCAGAAGUGAAGAAUGCCUUUGAUGGGCUCAUCUAUACACUGGAAAUGGUCAAGGAAAGAAUGAAGAUAGGUAAGCAGAAACUUCCCAAACAAAUGCAAAGAGGAACAAGAAUGCAAACAACAGAACAUGAAAGGUCUGUGGGACAAUUUCAAAAGGUGUGUCAUACGUGUAAUUAAGAUACCAGGAGGAAAGGAAAAAGCACAGAGUAAAGCAGAUAUUUGACGAUAAUAAUGGCUGGGAAUUUUCCAGAAUUAUUGAAAGACACAAAACCAUCCAGGAGACUCAGAGAACACAACACUAAGCAGGAUAAAUUUAUAUAUAAAUUGUAUUUAUAUAUGAAUUUAUUUAAUGUAGAUACAUACGUAUAUGUAUGUGUGUGUAUAUAUAUGUAUACAUGUGUGUCUGUGUGUGUAUUUCCUUACAAGUCUAGAAACCUCUUGCUAAUAAGGUCAUAUUCCAUGUAGAAACUCCUUUGUGACAAAGUAUCUAACUUGAUGUCAUUGCAUUGGCCUGCCACCAGGGAUCAGUGUAAUGUGGGCUUCAUAAGAGCAGACCUGCAAGUCAGAGACCUUGACUUUGAACGUAUUCAGUUUUACCACCACAUAAAAGAAAAGGCGGCUAUCAUGAAGCCUGCAGCGUUCAGAGAAGUGAUAUUGGAAAAGGACACACAGAAAGCAAAAAUAUCCUAUUUUAGCCAUGGGACAUAAAGAAAUGUCAUCAAUUUGUAUUAAUUAUAAGUAAUAUCUAUUUAAUUAGCCCCAUUGUAUUUAUAUUCAUUUUUUGAAAGGUCUUAUAUUUAUGUAUCUUAAGAACAAUAAUAUAGCCUAUAAAAUAUAAAAAUCUAAUAGUUAAAAUCUGUAUCAGAGAAAAAACAUUAUUGUUAUAUUAUUUGUACACAUACUAUUUAAUUGGUUUUACUACUAACUGCAACUGUUAACUAAUCCUGUUAUUUUUCUUAAAUAACAGUGUUUAUGUAACAGAAUAGCAAGUAAUACAGAAUACAUAUAAUCUAAACACCUAAUUUAUAUUUUAUGUUAAAAUAAUAAUAUGUGUAUAUAAGUAUUUAUUACAUAUUGUGCCAAUUUUUUGGUCUCGUAUAGCUGUGUCCUAAGUUGGCUGUCUAAAAAGUUCAUCUACGUACACAUAGAUGUCCUUCACAGAGCCUGACAUGCAGAAUUUGGCUCUGAAUUGUUUGACAGUUAUUGGACAGGUAUUUCUACUGGUUACUGUUUUUUUGAACCAGUUUAAUCUAAAGGCCUCCGGAAGAAAUAUGUACUAAUAUAUUUCAUGUGUCUGAAUGAGACAAUGACAGAUUAAUUGAAGAUAAAUUCAGUUAAGCUAGUCAUUAAAAAUAUAAAUGAGGUAAUUGUCAAGAAAGUAAAAAAGCUUUGUUAACCUUAAAAUCUAAGUUCAGAAGUCCUAUGAUAUAUUCUCUUUUUUAGCAAAAAUACCUGGACAAGCCCCUUCUUGGCUUCUAAAAAGAUAUUUGAGGUAGGAGAUUACCUACUUCUUUUACUCUGUCUUAUAAGAUUCUGAUUUUGAAUUAAAGUAAUAUGUAAAAGUGACUUUUUAAAAAAAUUUUUAUUAUAGUUGAUUUACAGUGUUCUGUCAAUUUCUGCUGUACAGCAAAGUAACCCGGUCACUCACACACACCACACACACACACCACACACAUAUUCUUUUCUCACAUUAUACUUCAUUAUGUUCCAUCACAGGUGACUAGUUUAUAGUCCCCUGUGCUAUACAGCAGGAAAAGGGACUUUUUGAUAACAAUUGCUAAUUAUUAUCUCCUUAUAGUCUACAUAGUGUCUAUGAUUAGGUCAGCUUUAUGCACAGAGGUGCCCAUAUGAUGUAUUUUGAAGGGUUCAAUAUCCCUAAGCUAUCCCUAAUGGAUGCCAUAACAUCUACAGUUAGACAUUUAUUUUUAUGCAAUUAUCUUUGCUUUAUCCAUGUUUCUCUUUUUAAAAAGAUACUUCUGGCAUAAGAUAAUCGCUUAGCACUUUAAAAUGAAUGACCAGCAAAGGCUUUACUUCUAUAAUUGCAGCUGAAGCAUUGACCACAUAGGGAUAUUUACUAGUACCUAAAAACUGGGAAUGGAAUAGAAGGGGAAGUCAGGAAUCACCUAGAUGAACUUCGCAGUUUUGUCCAAACUUGUAAUUAUUAUAUCGCUAGCCCCCUUGGCAAGUUUCCCUAUCUUCAGAAAUAACGAAUAUGAACAACCAUCUGAACAGUGGAUAUGGAAGCAUUUUAGCACAGACUGAAUUUGCACAGCAGAGGAAACAUGGUACGCCCAUGCUUCCUUCCUUGGCCUCUUUUCUAAGAACUUGGUUUCUGCUCAGUACAAUGAGUUCUGUUGAAAUAUAUAGACUCUCUUGCCCCCAAAACCUAGGAAAUUAGAUUAAGAAACCAUCUUUGGCCAUACCUGUACUUGGAUUUGGAAUCGAUUAAUUUAAAUUAAGACUUAAUUUUAAAAAUAUAUUACUUAUAUCUAUGUUAUAUAUUAACAUAAGAGAAAGUAGUAGAAAAAGUACUGGAGUUAGAAGAUAACGUAUUCCAGAUCUGCCCCUCCCUCUUACUAGCUAUGUUAUCUUGAGCAAAUGUUAACCUCUCUGAUUCCCUAACAUUUCCUGACAUUCCUUCUCUGAUGUAAGAUGGGGAUAACAUUGGGCAUCCUGCCUGUAUCACAGAACUGGACUGGCAAGAGCCCCCAAGAGGUAAUAUCUAUAACAAUACUUUGCAUACCGUGAGGUGUAAAAUAAAAUACAGCUACAACACGGCAUUACAUUAUUUUUGAUUAGAUAGUUUGUUAUGACACUGAAAUCAGAGUACCCAAUUUCUUUCAGCUCCCAAAGUAUGAUUCAGAGGCUUAGCAAAGACCAACAAAGCUAUGUUUUAGAAAUCAAUAAGAGGCCAAUUCAGGAAACAAUCCACCCUAAGAACACUGAUUUCUAUGAAAACUGUUUCAAAGUGACAUCCUUGAAGUGUCCUAUGAGCAAACAAGUUCCCAGGUGGACUGAGAAGACAAGGAUACCGACAGAAGGUUUUGUUUGUAUUUUCUUCGUUUGUUUAGGAUUUUAAUAAAUACGAAGGUGGCUUUCACUGUAUCAUUAAUAAAUUCUGUGAAAUCUGCAUUAUGGAAACUGUUUUUGUAAAUAGGAUAGAGAGUCAUUUUAUUCCUAACUCUGAAAAAUAUUCGCGGUAAUUUCUAUAUGAGUUGAAUAUAGAAGAAAAUUAUUUCGGUUAUUUGUAUUAACUACCUCUAACCAUUUCUUCUGGGGCCAUGGAUGGAUUCUAAAUACUGAUCAAUCAUAGCAGUAAAAAGAAAUCAAGUUGUUGAAGCUGAGUGAUGAGCUUAUAGGAGUCUCUCUCUUUGGAGGAAAAGUGAAUUUUUUUAAUGAAGCCCAAAAAUGUACUCUCUCACUCUCAGUGGUGCUGUAGAUCCCGUGCCCAUCAAUGUGCUCAGUGACAUGAUUAUUACCCUCUCUCACCUUCAUCAAAGUAUGGUCCAGAUUCACUACCGUCACCUCCUCGCCUGCAUACUUCUCCACCUACCACAAUCCAUCUUCUGUUCUCCCCAAAGCAAUGAAAUUGUUGCUUCCAGAGUCAUCAGUUCUUCUCACACUUGACUCCUCUACCCUUGGUUAUUCCCAGAGCCUUUAAAUUCUCCCUGGAUUCACUGAACAAUUCAACAUACAUAUCUAUAGAAUUCCUCUCUCCUUGUUUUAGUCCUGUUUCUCUGGCCAUUCAUGUUUGGUGUCCUACAUGGGCUUCUCUUCCUCUGCCUGAAUUUUAUUUUUUUAAAUUGAAGUAGAGUCAGCCUGAAUUUUAAGUGAACUAUUCCUCAGUAUUCCAUCCUUUGGUCUCUCCUGUUCUCACCACAUACUUUUAUUUCUGAGCACUCUCGCCUAUGCCUGUAGCUUCAAUACACAACUGAUGAUCAUCAUAUUUUUUCAUCAUCAAUCUAGGCAUCUCUUCUAAAUCCCAUACUCAUCUGCCUACUGGAUAUAUCCAUCCGUUUUCCCUCACAGAUACUCAUAGUUUAACUUGCCCACUACUGGUCUCUUUCUCCUCCUGCAUUCCAUGUCUCAGUCAGUAAUACUGCCUUCCUCCACUUAUCCAGCUAAUAGCCCAAGACAUAUCCUAACCUACAUCUCUUUGGUAUCCAAUAUUGAGAAGCUCUAUCCAUUCCAUUCUCAAAGAUUCUCUUGAAUUUGCCCUUCUUCAUCGCAACUGCUGCUCCCUUAGUUCAGACUCCCUUCCAGCCUCCCUUGAGUUACCACACUAGCCUUCUAACUUGUCUCCCUGCCUCAAGUCUUUUCUCCAACCUGUCAUCCUCCUGGCUGCCAGUGUGAUCUUUCAGAAAUGCAGAUCUAAUUAUAUUACUUCCACGCAUAAAAUCUUCAAUGGCCCCUAACAAUUCAACUUUUAAAACAUCAAGCAUCUACCAGACGCAAAUUAUUCCUGUCUCUGGAAACCUCUCAAAAGUUACGAACAAGGUGUCUAGUUCUGAACCAGUCAUUCACACUUUCCUGACGUUCUAGUCAUGCUAAACCAUACUUGUGGCUUAAAGAGUGUGCCAUGUUAGUCCCAUUGCCUAGAUUACUACUGUUUUGUUUACGUAGCUGACUUGCAAUUAUUCAUCAAGACUCAGAUAAAUUCGGAAUUAGGAAUCUUUCCUUAUCCAGCCCUAACUAUGGCUAGAAGUCCCCCAUCAGCAAUCCUAUAGUAAGCACCUUGCCUCAUCUCUAUAGUUACUUAUUCUGUUGAUGCUUUACUUUUCUCUGUCUCUCUCUCUCGUCCCAACUGUUGGACUAUUAAAGUCAAUGACUAUAUUUUUCACACCUAUUUACCAAACUGAACAUAAUGCCAGAUACCUAAUAACCAUCCAAUGACUAUUUGCUGAAUGGUCUAGGAAUGGCUUCUCAAGAGACUAUAGAUCCAGCAUUGCCAGAUAUUGUGCUCAUACACACCCUCAUACACGGUCUUUCAAGUCUAGUUUAAUUCAGUGAGUGUUUAGUCAUCAGUUUCCUUUCAUUUUAGUAGUGGACAAUUCUUUUAAAAAAAAAAAGCAUUAUUGUGGAAAUUUCAAGCAUAAACAAAAGGAGAGAGAAUAGAAUAAUGAAUCACUGGUGCCCGUUAUCCACCCUAAAGAGUUAUCAGCAUCCUGCUAUUCUUGUUUCAUUUGUAUUCCCACCACUUUUUUUGCUAAAAGUAUUUUAAGCAAAGUCAGCAAACCAUGUUGUUUUG